ACAGUACUCCCUCCAUCCCGAAUUAUUUGUCGCAGAAAUGAAUCAAAAUGAAUGUAUCUAGAACUAAAAAUAUGUCUAGAUACAUCAAUUUCUAUGAUAAGUAAUUCGGGAUAGAGGAAGUAUUAU
rfam:Triticum aestivum genome assembly, contig: Triticum_aestivum_CS42_TGACv1_scaffold_031049_1BL